UACGUAGGCAGCGAGCGUUGUUCGGAGUUACUGGGCGUAAAGCGUGCGGUAGGCGGGUGUCUUAAAGUUUGGUUGUGAAAUCUCCCGGCUUAACCGGGAGGGUGCGGCGAAUACUGAGAUGCUGGAGUGCCGGAGAGGUAAGCGGAAUUCUGGUGUAGCGGUGAAAUGCGUAGAUAUCAGGAGGAACACCUGCGGUGUAGACGGCUUACUGGACGGUAAC
rnacentral:rRNA from 1 species